rnacentral:rRNA from 1 species
CGGACGGGUGAGUAACGCGUGGAUAACCUGCCUUACACUGGGGGAUAACACUUAGAAAUAGGUGCUAAUACCGCAUAAGCGCACAGAGCCGCAUGGCUCAGUGUGAAAAACUCCGGUGGUGUAAGAUGGACCCGCGUCUGAUUAGCUUGUUGGCGGGGUAAUGGCCCACCAAGGCGACGAUCAGUAGCCGGCCUGAGAGGGUGAACGGCCACAUUGGGACUGAGACACGGCCCAAACUCCUACGGAAGGCAGCAG